AUUCUACUGACUCCAAGUUCACGCAGCUGUUCAUCCCCUGCUUAAUGUACUGGCCUGCCCUGUGGCUGCCCAUUGACCAAUCAGCAUGCACUUCUCCAUUCAGAGCAGACGAAAAGCCCAGACUCAAUCAGUCUCACACACUCAUCAGGACUACUUGGCUAUGGAAAGGAGAUAGCCACUAUGGGUCUCCUCUCCAUUAAGAGUUGGACACUUGUCCAGAUGACCUGCCUACAGAAAGAAGCUACCCACUAUGGGUCUCCUCUCCUCUGAAAGCUGGACACUCAUUGGAACAACCUGCCUGCAGAAAGAAGCUGCCCACUUCAGGGCUCCUGAGAGCUGUUCUGUCGCUCAAUAAAUCUCCUCUCCACCUUGUUCACCCUCCAGUUGUCUGCAUACGUCAUUCUUCCUGGAAAUGGGACAAGAACUUAGGACACACCAAAUGGCAAGACUGAAAGAGCUGUAACACAAACAGGGCUGAAACAUGCUCCUUCACUCACUAAGUGGUGGGCAAUAAGUAGGAGAGAAGAGCUGUGUCACUUUGGGGAGCCCAAAGUUAAGGGCUCCCCAAGCCAGGGCUGUGCCACCCUCUUUUGGGGUCUAUGGUUUCCAGUGUCUCUAAGCUUCUGGGCACCACUGUAUUCCCUAGUGCCUGAAGCAGUACAGCUUGUGGUACACCUGGUCUAGCCACAGCCUCACGUGGAACCACUGCCUGUGCUGGAACCUGGAGAUGACUGCCCUAUUGCAGCCAGCAUGCUGGGCUGUGCACAGUUGCUGUACCCUGUGCUCACUUGCUCACACACCCCUCACCACUCUGCUCCUGGCUUAUCCUUGGCAGGUAUGGGAUCCAGGCCAGUAGUAUGAGCCAGUUGCAGCCUGCUGGCUCAAAUGGGUGGAAUGAGCCCAGCAGGCGCAAGCAAAACACAAGCAGAGUUGCCGCCAGCCACAGAGGUUUCUGACUGGCAAAGUGACACCCCAAGGAACCCAUGACAGUUAAGCAAUAAAACUAAAAAUAUAUCACUUUUUUGCAAUACCUGAGGAUAGAAGAAUGUAUACUGUAAAUUCUUAUUUUGUGUAUGUAUAAGCUGCAUGCUUCAUAUACUAUCUUUUAGGAGAUAUAUUAGAAUAUCUUACAUUAAGUAUAAAUUAUUAUUAAUGUAGUUUUAGAAUGGCAUAUUUGUGAUUAAAUCAUAAGAUUUUAUGCAUCAGGUUUGAAUAUUUCUUAACUGACUUUUGUGUUUCAUUAUAGAUGUGUUAAGUUAUUGCUGAGAAUUUCCCUUUUGAAUGCUAUGCUGAUAGGAUGUUUCAGUGUUGUGAAUUCUGUAUUCUAGUGCUGAUGCCUCCAUCCCCAAAACCUGCCAUUUCACUUUAAAUACUGUAAAACAGGUUACCUACUCUCGUACGUAACUCAGAAGCACCUAAUAGUAUGGCUGAUAUUCUGUUGAAAUAAACAACAUAACAACUUGUAUCGUUUGGAAAUUCAGAUACUGAUAUUCUUUGCCCUUUAGCACUUCUGUCUCAUCCACUCAAUUUCUCUUCAACAUUCUCCCUCAACUUUUCAAAUUAUAAAUCACAACAAAUCAAUGAAAACAGCAUUGCUUAUAUAGCAGCAGUCCUUUAGGCAUAAUCAGCAUUCAGUUACCAAUUCAUAUAAAAUGACAGGCCCAGGGAGGAACUGAGACCUACCACAACACCAUGAUAAAGGCAGAAGCCAUCUGAGAGAUAUGAAAACGGCCAGAGGGUGUGAAAUUAAUGGAGAGGAAACAAAACACAUAUUGAAAUCAGAUAAGGGCUUGUUUGAAAUACUAUUUUGUAAACCAUGUUCUAACAGCCACCAUGGGGUCCUUUGUAACUCUUCACACUUAACUCCAACUGCCACUGCUCUCUGUUGACUAAACUCCCAUCCACACUGACUGCUUUCAGUUUCUCAAAAGAGGCAAGCUCUUCCUGCCCUGGGACCUUCACUUAAACUGUUCUUCAUACGUGUGAUUCUCUCCUUAACAUCUUUACAUGAUGUCUUUUUCCUGUCUUAGCCUCAACUUAAAUGCCAUGUCUUCAAGAUAUUUUAUCCCAGUACCUAAUAUAAAAUAGUGGCCACCAAUAUUAUUUUCAUAAUUCCUUUUUUUCCUCAUGUAUAGAACUUAUCACAUUUGAGAUCAAGUAUUUGUUUGUUUCUCUAAUUUGAGUUUGAGUAAAUUAAACUGCCAGUAUCACUAUAUACUUAGCUGUACCCAACUUUAUAUGGUUUGGCUGUGUCCCCACCCAAAUCUCAUCUUGAAUUUUAGCUCCUAUAGUUCCCAUGUGUUAUGGGAGGGACCCAGUGGGAGAUAAUCAAAUCAUGGGAGCAGUUCCCCCAUACUGUUCUCAUGGUAAUCAAUAAGUCUCACAAGAUCUGAUGGUUUUAUAAGGGGAAACACUUUUUGCUGGUUCUCACCCUCUCUUUUUGCCUGCUGCCAUCCAUGUAAGACAUGACUUGCUCCUCCUUGCCUUCUACCAUGAUUCUGAGGCCUCCCCAACCACAAGGAACUGUAAGUCCAUCAAACACUUUUUUCUGUAUAAAUUACCCAGUCUUGGGUAUGUCUUUAUCAGUGGCAUGAAAACAGACUAAUACAGUAAAGUGGUACCAGUAGAGUGGGGUGCUGCUGAAAAGAUACCUGAAAAUGUGGCAGCAACUUUGGGACUGGGUAACAGGCAGACGUUGGAACAGUUUGGAGGGCUCAGAAGAAGAUGAGAAAAUGUAGGAAAGUUUGGAACUCCCUAGAGACUUGUUGAAUGGCUAUGACCAAAAUGCUGAUAAUGAUAUGGACAAUUAAAUCCAGGUUGAGGUGGACUCAGAUGGAUGUAAGGAACUUGUUGGGAACUGGAGCAAAGGUGACUCUUGUUAAACAUUUUAGCAAAGAGACUGGUGGCAUUUUGCCCCUCCCCUAGAAAUUUGUGGAACUUUGAACUUGAGAAAGAUGAUUUAGGGCAUCUGGUGGAAGAAAUUUCUAAGCAGCAAAGCAUUCAGGAUGUGACUUUGGUGCUGUUAAAGAUAUUCUGUUUUAAAAGGGAAACAGAGCAAAAAAGUUUGGAAAAUUUGCAGCCUGACAAUGAGAUAGAAAAUAAAAUCCCAUUUUCUGAGGAGAAAUUCAAGCCAGCUGCAAAAAUUUGCAUAAGUAAUGAAGACCCAAGUGUUAAUCACCAAGACAAUGGGGAAAACGCCUCCAGGGCAUGUCAUAGAACUUUGCAGAAGCCCCUCUCAUUACAGGCCCAGAGGCCUAGGAGGAAAAAGUGGUUUCAUGGGCUGGACCCAGGGUCCUUGUGCUGUGUGCCCCCUAGGGACUUGGUGCCCCCUGUCCCAACACUCCAGCCAUACUUGAAAGGGAUCAACAUAUAGCUCAGGCCUUGGCUUCAGAGGGUGCAAGCCCCAAGCCUUGGCAACUUCCAUGUGGCAUUGUGCCUUCAAGUGCACAGAAGUCAAGAAUUUGGGUUUAGGAACUUCCACCUAGAUUUCUGAGGAUGUAUGGAAAUGCCUGGAUGCCCAGGCAGAAGUUUGCUGCAGGUGCAGGGCACUCAUGGAGAACCUCUGCUAGGGCAGUGCAGAAGGGAAAUGUGGGGUUGAAGCCCCCAUACAGAGUCCUUACUAGGGCACUGCCUACUGGGGCUCUUCCCUGUGAGAAGAGGGCCACCAUUCUCCAGACCCCAGAAUGGUAGAUCCACAGGCAGCUUGCACUGUGCACCAGGAAAAGCCACAGACAUUCAAUGCCAGCCUGUGAAAUCAGCCAGGUGGGGGAUAUUCCCUGCAAAGCCACAGGGGCAGAGCCGCCCAAGACCAUGAGAACCCACAUUUUGCAUCAGCAUGACCUGAAUCUGAGACACAAAGUCAAAGGAGAUUAUUUGGUAUGUUCUGGAUUUUGAACUUGUAUGGGGACUGUAGCCCCUUCAUUUUGGCCAAUUACUGUCUUUGGAACAGGUAUAUUUACCCAAUGCCUAUACCACCAUUGUAUCUAGGAAGUAAGUAACUUGCUUUUGAUUUUACAGGCACACAGGCAGAAGAGACUUGCCUUGUUUCAGAUGAAACUUUGGACUGUGGACUUUUGAGUUAAUGCUGAAAUGAAUUAAGACUUUCGGGGGCUGGGCAUGGUGGCUCAUGCCUGUAAUCCCAGCACUUUGGGAGGCUGAGGCAGGCAGAUCAUGAGGUCAGGAGAUCGAGACCAUCCUGGCUAACAUGGUGAAACCCUGUCUGUAAUAAAAAUACAAAAAAUUAGCCAGGCAUGGUGGCGUGUGCCUGUAG
rnacentral:lncRNA from 1 species